UGGGGAAUAUUGCACAAUGGGCGCAAGCCUGAUGCAGCCAUGUCGCGUGUAUGAAGAAGGCCUUCGGGUUGUAAAGUACUUUCAGCGAGGAGGAAGGCGUUGUGGUUAAUAACCGCAACGAUUGACGUUACUCGCAGAAGAAGCACCGGCUAACUCCGUGCCAGCAGCCGCGGUAAUACGGAGGGUGCAAGCGUUAAUCGGAAUUACUGGGCGUAAAGCGCACGCAGGCGGUCUGUCAAGUCGGAUGUGAAAUCCCCGGGCUCAACCUGGGAACUGCAUCCGAAACUGGCAGGCUAGAGUCUUGUAGAGGGGGGUAGAAUUCCAGGUGUAGCGGUGAAAUGCGUAGAGAUCUGGAGGAAUACCGGUGGCGAAGGCGGCCCCCUGGACAAAGACUGACGCUCAGGUGCGAAAGCGUGGGGAGCAAACA
rnacentral:rRNA from 1 species